rnacentral:sRNA from 12 species
GUAGAAGAUAGGUAAGGAACUAUCUUCAAUACAAAUAUUUCAUUACAUAAGGAGGUAAUGA